rnacentral:lncRNA from 1 species
UAGCAAAGACAAGUUUCAAACAGAUGAUGAUUGACAUGCAUCAAUUAUAAAUUCUCCACAUCUUCACCUUCAAGCCCCAGAAAUGACCAUGAGCUUUUUUAUACCUGCAGCAAUGAAGAGAAAACAGAGUACUCCACUUUGUUUCAUCUUCUUUGGAAUUCUUCUUCUUCUUCUUCUUCUGGCUCGUCCAUCAUACCGCUACUCCCCAUCCAUGACAGGUCAAGCAGGUGCAAGUAAAUGUAUAUAUUUAUGUCUGUAUGUGUGUGUACAUAUAUGUUGUGUGUGUGUGUACCUAUCUAAUCUACUUCAACUUUUUUGUUACCAAAAAGAAACAUCAUCUGAUUUUUUGUUGAUGUACUUUUCGUAGUUGAUGUCAAACUUAAAGCUGCAGAAAGCAGAACAAGCUUAGCUACUUGGGGGAUUGAGGUAACUAUAAUGUUACUUCUGUUCUAUGUACACAGAUAGACGUACAUAUAUAUCAUCUCGUUAUAGUUUGAUACACAUAUAGAUAUGAUUUACUGAUGGGCGGUUUGUUUUAAUGGAAAAUAAGAGCAAAUAUGGGAGGCGUUUGAAGCUAAAUAAUAAGAAGGAAGGAUCAGGACCCAAUCCGAAAGGGAACAAGAACCCACCAUCAAAGCCAUGACACGCUUCAUUUUGUACUAUUCUUUUUUUGGGGUAGAGAAGAUGAUGUUGGUUAUGCUGCUCUUUUGGGAUAUUAAUCAAAUUUCAGUUCAAAUUCUUGGCAGAUGCACUAUAAUAUUAUAUAUUUAAAUAGAUUCAGUGGCAUAUAAUCUCUUUCUUAAUUAAAUUAAUAGAUAUAUAGACG